GCCGGGAUAGCUCAGUUGGWAGAGCARAGGACUGAAAAUCC
rnacentral:tRNA from 1 species